rnacentral:rRNA from 1 species
AGCGACUUAUAUUCUGUAGCAAGGUUAACCGAAUAGGGGAGCCGGAGGGAAACCGAGUCUUAAUUGGGCGUUAAGUUGCAGGGUAUAGACCCGAAACCCGGUGAUCUAGCCAUGGGCAGGUUGAAGGUUGGGUAACACUAACUGGAGGACCGAACCGACUAAUGUUGAAAAAUUAGCGGAUGACCUGUGGCUGGGGGUGAAAGGCCAAUCAAACCGGGAGAUAGCUGGUUCUCCCCGAAAGCUAUUUAGGUAGCGCCUCGUGAAUUCAUCUCCGGGGGUAGAGCACUGUUUCGGCUAGGGGGCCAUCCCGGCUUACCAACCCGAUGCAAACUGCGAAUACCGGAGAAUGUUAUCACGGGAGACACACGGCGGGUGCUAACGUCCGUCGUGAAGAGGGAAACAACCCAGACCGCCAGCUAAGGUCCCAAAGUCAUGGUUAAGUGGGAAACGAUGUGGGAAGGCCCAGACAGCCAGGAUGUUGGCUUAGAAGCAGCCAUCAUUUAAAGAAAGCGUAAUAGCUCACUGGUCGAGUCGGCCUGCGCGGAAGAUGUAACGGGGCUAAACCAUGCACCGAAGCUGCGGCAGCGAACGUAUCACUUAAAGCGAUUCAGCGGAUGACGAUUGACGGAGCGAAGCG